AACGAACGCUGGCGGCAUGCCUAACACAUGCAAGUCGAACGAGACCUUCGGGUCUAGUGGCGCACGGGUGCGUAACGCGUGGGAACCUGCCCUUAGGUUCGGAAUAACUCCCCGAAAGGGGUGCUAAUACCGGAUAAUGUCUUCGGACCAAAGAUUUAUCGCCUUUGGAUGGGCCCGCGUUGGAUUAGCUAGUUGGUAGGGUAAUAGCCUACCAAGGCGACGAUCCAUAGCUGGUUUGAGAGGAUGAUCAGCCACACUGGGACUGAGACACGGCCCAGACUCCUACGGGAGGCAGCAGUGGGGAAUAUUGGACAAUGGGCGAAAGCCUGAUCCAGCAAUGCCGCGUGAGUUAUGAAGGCCGUAGGGUUGUAAAGCUCUUUUACCCGGGAUGAUAAUGACGGUACCGGGAGAAUAAGCGCCGGCUAACUCCGUG
rnacentral:rRNA from 1 species